rnacentral:rRNA from 1 species
CCUACGGGAGGCAGCAGUGAGGAAUAUUGGUCAAUGGACGAGAGUCUGAACCAGCCAAGUAGCGUGAAGGAUGACUGCCCUAUGGGUUGUAAACUUCUUUUAUAUGGGAAUAAAAUGUUCCACGUGUGGGAUUUUGUAUGUACCAUAUGAAUAAGGAUCGGCUAACUCCGUGCCAGCAGCCGCGGUAAUACGGAGGAUCCGAGCGUUAUCCGGAUUUAUUGGGUUUAAAGGGAUCGUAGGUGGAUUGUUAAGUCAGUUGUGAAAGUUUGCGGCUCAACCGUAAAAUUGCAGUUGAAACUGGCAGUCUUGAGUACAGUAGAGGUGUGCGGAAUUCGUGGUGUAGCGGUGAAAUGCUUAGAUAUCACGAAGAACUCCGAUUGCGAAGGCAGUUCACUGGACUGCAACUGACACUGAGGCUCGAAAGUGUGGGUAUCAAACAGGAUUAGAUACCCCGGUAGUC